rnacentral:tRNA from 1 species
GCCUCUGUGGUCUAAUGGUUAUGACCCUUGCCUGGACAGCGAGAGGUCGCAGGUUCGAAUCCUGUCGUAGGAU